GGUUAAGCGACUAAGCGUACACGGUGGAUGCCCUGGCAGUCAGAGGCGAUGAAGGACGUGCUAAUCUGCGAUAAGCGCCGGUAAGGUGAUAUGAACCGUUAUAACCGGCGAUUUCCGAAUGGGGAAACCCAGUGUGACUCGUCACACUAUCAUUAACUGAAUCCAUAGGUUAAUGAGGCGAACCGGGGGAACUGAAACAUCUAAGUACCCCGAGGAAAAGAAAUCAACCGAGAUUCCCCCAGUAGCGGCGAGCGAACGGGGAGGAGCCCAGAGCCUGAAUCAGCAUGUGUGUUAGUGGAAGCGUCUGGAAAGGCGCGCGAUACAGGGUGACAGCCCCGUACACAAAAGCGCAUGUGCUGUGAGCUCGAUGAGUAGGGCGGGACACGUGGUAUCCUGUCUGAAUAUGGGGGGACCAUCCUCCAAGGCUAAAUACUCCUGACUGACCGAUAGUGAACCAGUACCGUGAGGGAAAGGCGAAAAGAACCCCGGCGAGGGGAGUGAAAAAGAACCUGAAACCGUGUACGUACAAGCAGUGGGAGCCCCACCACUAAGCCAGUGGUGAACUCCACAUACGCAUCCUUUGCUGAGGAUACGGUUAACGGAGCGAAAGCGACGUUCAACCUCAAAAGAAGCAGAGGGGGCUUAGUGGUGGGGUGACUGCGUACCUUUUGUAUAAUGGGUCAGCGACUUAUAUUCUGUAGCAAGGUUAACCGAAUAGGGGAGC
rnacentral:rRNA from 1 species